rnacentral:rRNA from 1 species
AUUGAACGCUGGCGGCAUGCCUUACACAUGCAAGUCGAACGGCAGCACGGGAGCAAUCCUGGUGGCGAGUGGCGAACGGGUGAGUAAUGUAUCGGAACGUGCCCAGUCGUGGGGGAUAACGUAGCGAAAGCUACGCUAAUACCGCAUACGAUCUAUGGAUGAAGGCGGGGGAUCGCAAGACCUCGCGCGAUUGGAGCGGCCGAUAUCAGAUUAGGUAGUUGGUGGGGUAAAGGCCCACCAAGCCUGCGAUCUGUAGCUGGUCUGAGAGGACGACCAGCCACACGGGAACGGAGACGCGGUCCAGACUCCUACGGGAGGCAGCAGUGGGGAAUUUUGGACAAUGGGCGCAAGCCUGAUCCAGCAAUGCCGCGUGCAGGAUGAAGGCCUUCGGGUUGUAAACUGCUUUUGUACGGAACGAAACGGCUUUUUCUAAUACAGAGAGCUAAUGACGGUACCGUAAGAAUAAGCACCGGCUAACUACGUGCCAGCCGCCGCAGUAA